rnacentral:tRNA from 1 species
UCACCGAAAUAGCUCAGUUGAGAGAGCGUGAGACUAUAGAUCGAGAAGUCGCUGGUUCGAUCCCGAAUUCGUGAA